rnacentral:lncRNA from 1 species
GAGCUUCCUCCACGCGCCGUGCAGUCUCCACGGCGACGCUGCGUUCCCGACUCGGAGCCCCCAGCUCCGCGCGAGCAGCUAGCCGGGCUGGCUCUCGGUGUGUGCCCUUCGGAUGGUCUGCUGAAGAGGGCCGCCAGCUGGUAAGACACUCCGAGGCAACGACCGGUCUCCCUCUCCCUAGCCCGGUGUGCAGUCUGACCCAGCCCCCACAGCAGACCACCCCCAGACCGGGCGCCCGAGUCUGCGGACCGCUCUACCGCACCUGGUUCUGGCUCUGGGCCCCGGGCCCCGUGGCUGCCAGGGGCCGCCGGGAAGGGAGGAUGCGCGCCACUGGGGUGCGCCUGGCUUGCGGCACCCUCCUCCCGCAGUGGUCGGAAGAGAAAAAGUGAUGAUUGAAUCAAACGAAGCAAUGUCAGAGUAAGAAGAUGUCUUUGAUUGUGCAGCUGAUCUCUCCCAUGCCUUUUAAGCAAUUAGAACUAGAUAAUGCAGCCAUUUGUCACCCAAUUAAAUUUGAAAGGCCAGAAAUGCAUGGAUUAGCACUUCAGCUUUUGCUGCAGUCAAAGCAAUUGUUACUAUAGAUAGAAGGACAGUUAAAAUGAAAAAUGAAUUUUGAUAAAAAUGCAGAAGUAUAGAUAAUAUUCACUUCUACUUUUUAAUGCUUAAACACCCUGUAUUCUGUAUUUUACUUGUAUCAUAAUUUUCAUUGCUCAUUCCUAUUUCCCUUUGAUACUUAUUUCUUUCACAAUAUUUCUUCAAGUGAAUAUGUACUUUAAAAUUAACAAAUUAUUUACUAUAACAUGAAUUGUUACUACUCAAUAAAGAAAGUAAUCACCUCAACUAGUUGAAGAAACUGGUGUUAAAAAAAUUGUAUUCUUUCCAGCCUUUUGGCUAAGAUCAAGUGUAAAAAAAUCACAGUACAAUAUCAAUUUAGUAGCUAAAUUUUAAAUAUCUUCUCUGUUCAAGGCUCUGAUUCUGAUAAUCUAUUAAAGCCCUUCCUGUAGUCAUCUCCUACUUUCUGAAAAAAAAAUCUCUAUUUAUUCUAUGAAAAAUUACAGCUUGAAAGUUGAUCAUAAACACAUUUGUGGGGAUUACUGACAAAUUAGUAGGUACUAUUCUGGUGGGAUUCUUCUAUUCAAAUUCAUACUGUUUUUGUUUAUUCUAAAUAUUGACUGGGAAAAAUUCUACCCUAGACAACAUAUAUUUAAAUUUUCAUAUUGUCAAAACGAAAAAUGUCCACCUUGGCUUUUGUUGUAAAUUAUAUGUAUAUUACAUAUUAUAUAAUACAUGUUUUUAUAUUAAAGAGAAAGUAAUGUAUAGCAAA